UACAGAGGGUGCAAGCGUUAAUCGGAAUUACUGGGCGUAAAGCGCACGUAGGCGGUUUUUUAAGUCAGAUGUGAAAGCCCCGGGCUCAACCUGGGAAUUGCAUUUGAAACUGGAAAACUAGAGUGUGUGAGAGGGGGGUAGAAUUCCAAGUGUAGCGGUGAAAUGCGUAGAGAUUUGGAGGAAUACCAGUGGCGAAGGCGGCCCCCUGGCACAACACUGACGCUCAGGUGCGAAAGCGUGGGGAGCAAACAGGAUUAGAUACCCUGGUAGUCCACGCCGUAAACGAUGUCUACUAGCUGUUCGUGACCUUGUGUCGUGAGUAGCGCAGCUAACGCACUAAGUAGACCGCCUGGGGAGUACGGUCGCAAGAUUAAA
rnacentral:rRNA from 1 species